rnacentral:piRNA from 2 species
UGAAGAAUUUUGAGUAUUCAGCUAGAGAUC